rnacentral:rRNA from 1 species
UACGGGGGGGGCAAGCGUUGUUCGGAAUUACUGGGCGUAAAGGGCUCGUAGGCGGCCAACUAAGUCAGACGUGAAAUCCCUCGGCUUAACCGGGGAACUGCAUCUGAUACUGGAUGGCUUGAGUUCGGGAGAGGGAUGCGGAAUUCCAGGUGUAGCGGUGAAAUGCGUAGAUAUCUGGAGGAACACCGGUGGCGAAGGCGGCAUCCUGGACCGGCAUUGACGCUGAGGCGCGAAAGCCAGGGGAGCAAACGGG